rnacentral:rRNA from 1 species
GACGGGGGGGGGCAAGUGUUCUUCGGAAUGACUGGGCGUAAAGGGUGCGUAGGCGGCGCGGUAAGUCGGGUGUGAAAUCUCGGAGCUUAACUCCGAAACUGCAUUCGAUACUGCCGUGCUUGAGGACUGGAGAGGAGACUGGAAUUUACGGUGUAGCGGUGAAAUGCGUAGAUAUCGUAAGGAAGACCAGUGGCGAAGGCGGGUCUCUGGACAGUUCCUGACGCUGAGGCACGAAGGCCAGGGGAGCAAACGGG